CUGCUCGAACAAACAAGGGCCAAGGGGGGAACCCUAGCUUCAUCCAAUUCACAAGAAAAACUAUAGAGAUUCAAAGAAAUUGAAAGCAUAAUCAGGAAAUUGCAAGCUCUUAACUUGUUCAUUGAAAGGGCGUGAAGGAGGAGGGCUCGAGUGCUAAGAAAUCGGAAGGAUCACAGGAUCGAGGUAAAUCCUCACUUUAGGCGAUUUGGAGAAUCGGAGCGAGCACGUGUCCAUGUCAUGUUAUACCAAACGCUUCCGCUAGCUUAUUCUCAUCUUUUUGGUCUAUGACUCGUUAUUUUGUCCAACUUUGUUAGUAGUCGUACAUUUGUAAAACUUGUCGUCUUUGCUUUUGGUAGUUUUAUGUCAAACAGAUCGUAGAAUGUUAUUUAGUGGAUUAGUUUAAAAACAGGGGGUAUGUUCGUUUUACGAACGGGUCAUGCCCAAUUUUUGUAAAAAAAUAAAUUAAUUAAUUAUGUAUCAAAGUU